AUUGAACGCUGGCGGCAGGCCUAACACAUGCAAGUCGAACGAGUGGCGGACGGGUGAGUAAUGUCUGGGAAACUGCCUGAUGGAGGGGGAUAACUACUGGAAACGGUAGCUAAUACCGCAUACCAUCAGAUGUGCCCAGAUGGGAUUAGCUUGUUGGUGGGGUAACGGCUCACCAAGGCGACGAUCCCUAGCUGGUCUGAGAGGAUGACCAGCCAACCUGGAACUGCGAAACGGUCCAGACUCCUACGGGAGGCAGCAGUGGGGAAUAUUUCAACAUGGGCGCAAGCCUGAUGCAGCCAUGCCGCGUGUAUGAAGAAGGCCUUCGGGGUGGAAAGGACUUUCAGCGGGGAGGCGGUACCCGCAGAAGAAGCACCGGCUAACUCCGUGCCAGCCGCCGCGGUAAUAC
rnacentral:rRNA from 1 species